GACGAACGCUGGCGGCGUGCCUAAUACAUGCAAGUUGAGCGCGGAAGGUUGGUACUUGUACCGACUGGAUGAGCAGCGAACGGGUGAGUAACGCGUGGGGAAUCUGCCUUUGAGCGGGGGACAACAUUUGGAAACGAAUGCUAAUACCGCAUAAAAACUUUAAACACAAGUUUUAAGUUUGAAAGAUGCAAAUGCAUCACUCAAAGAUGAUCCCGCGUUGUAUUAGCUAGUUGGUGAGGUAAAGGCUCACCAAGGCGAUGAUACAUAGCCGACCUGAGAGGGUGAUCGGCCACAUUGGGACUGAGACACGGCCCAAACUCCUACGGGAGGCAGCAGUAGGGAAUCUUCGGCAAUGGACGAAAGUCUGACCGAGCAACGCCGCGUGAGUGAAGAAGGUUUUCGGAUCGUAAAACUCUGUUGGUAGAGAAGAACGUUGGUGAGAGUGGAAAGCUCAUCAAGUGACGGUAACUACCCAGAAAGGGACGGCUAACUACGUGCCAGCCGCCGCAGUAA
rnacentral:rRNA from 1 species